GUUGAUAUUAAAAUACACAACUUACGUGACUUUACCCAUGCUGAAGACACUAAAGCUAAGGUACAAACUGGGAUUAGAGACCCCACUAUGCUUAGCCGUAAACUGAGGUAAUUAAAUAAUAAAAUUACUCGCCAGAGAACUACUAGCUACUGCUUAAAACUCAAAGGACUUGGCGGUGCCCUAGACCCUCCUAGAGGAGCCUGUUCUAUAAUCGAUAAACCCUGAU
rnacentral:ncRNA from 1 species